CUACGGGGUGCUCCAGUGAGGAAUAUUGGGCAAUGGAGGCAACUCUGACCCAGCCAUGCCGCGUGCAGGAUGACGGCCCUAUGGGUUGUAAACUGCUUUUAUACGGGAAGAAACCCAGGUACGUGUACCUGGCUGACGGUACCGUAAGAAUAAGCAUCGGCUAACUCCGUGCCAGCAGCCGCGGUAAUACGGAGGAUGCAAGCGUUAUCCGGAUUUAUUGGGUUUAAAGGGUGCGUAGGCGGAAAAAUAAGUCAGUGGUGAAAUCCUGCAGCUUAACUGUAGAACUGCCAUUGAUACUGUUAUUCUUGAGUAUAGUUGAGGUAGGCGGAAUGUGUAAUGUAGCGGUGAAAUGCUUAGAUAUUACACAGAACACCAAUUGCGUAGGCAGCUUACUAAGCUAUAACUGACGCUGAGGCACGAAAGCGUGGGGAUCGAACAGGAUUAGAUACCCCCGUAGUC
rnacentral:rRNA from 1 species